rnacentral:lncRNA from 1 species
CCUGACCCUCUAGGACGGGUAGGGUUGCAGACAAGCAGGGGAGACAGCACACCGCCCUCGUCCCUGCCAGGAAGGAGCCCCCGAGCGGCUCUGAUCCUGCAUUUGCAUCAGCACCGCCGCCAGCCCUGCCGACUCCUUCCAGUUGUAGGGACCUUUGACAGACACGUGAGGCGUGAGGGAGAGUGUGUGUGGUGGGGGGUGGGGGGCAGAACAGGAGGCUCCCCGGGCAGGGCCGGAGGUCGUUGGCUGGGAAAAGGCCGGAGAUGGAAGAUGACAGUCUCGGGGCAGGGGGGUCCCUCGCUCUGGCCCCCCCGGCAUUGCGGGUGUGUGUCGAAAUGGGCACACUCUUUAGCGUGACCCGGGGCCAAGAUCAAGCAGCUCAUCACCAAGUGAAGGCUGUAUUAGAUGCAGAAAGUCCACAUCCUCCGUCUCACGCUGCCUGCGGAUUUAGCACCUAAAGGCGGGCCAGGUGGGAAACCUUCCCCUGGGCGCCCCUGUGUGUCACGUCGCGCUUCUUUUCCCUCUUUCGCUCUAUCUCCUUUCUUUUCUGCUCCCCGCUCGCACUCCCUGCGUAGGUACACGGGAGCACUUGUCCUUGGGUUUGUCUGUGUUGUCGUGUCUUGGGGUACAGCUCUUCCAGUGCCUCUGACGUGGCGGAAUGGCUUACUUUCACGUCCGAUGUGAACAGAGCCCAGGCUCGCUGCAGAGCUUGAACCCUGAGAAGUGGCCUUGAACGUCUGAGACCACGCGUCCCCUGCCAGGUGAAGAGGAGGCCGAGAGGGAAGAGAGGGCCUGGGAUGGGGAAGAAGGGAACACGGGCUUCUGGCCGCUGGCCUCUCUCCAAGACAGGUGGACUCUGCGUUCAGAAAGGAGCUCCUUUCAUCUCUCGGCCCUAAAUGGCCGCUCUUUGCGUUUUCUCUCCUUCUCGCUUUCCCUCCUCCCUCUCCCUCGCUCCCUCCCCACCCCCACCCUGGCCUCCAAAAGAAUUUAAUCUGCUGGACAACAAACAAUACUGUUAUAAAACUUUGAAAACAAGAGGGCGAGGCCUCCCUGACAAGGAGAAGGGCAUGCCGGGUAAGAGCCCAGGGAGCCUGCCAGGCCCGAGACGGAGCCAGGCCAGAGCCCACCAGCCGUGCCAUCCCCGGUCCAGAGGGGAAGGAACCGAAACCAAAGUCUUGGGGCGAGAAGCGCUCGAAAAGGGGAAGUGGUGCGUGUUCCCCUCGCGCCGAUCUGAUGGGAAUGCACUAGACUGUGAAGCUCCCUCCCCCUCCCCCUC